AUUGAACGCUGGCGGCAUGCCUUACACAUGCAAGUCGAACGGUAACAGAUCUUCGGAUGCUGACGAGUGGCGAACGGGUGAGUAAUACAUCGGAACGUGCCUAGUAGUGGGGGAUAACUACUCGAAAGAGUGGCUAAUACCGCAUGAGAUCUACGGAUGAAAGCAGGGGAUUGCAAGACCUUGUGCUACUAGAGCGGCCGAUGGCAGAUUAGGUAGUUGGUGGGAUAAAAGCUUACCAAGCCGACGAUCUGUAGCUGGUCUGAGAGGACGAUCAGCCACACUGGGACUGAGACACGGCCCAGACUCCUACGGGAGGCAGCAGUGGGGAAUUUUGGACAAUGGGCGCAAGCCUGAUCCAGCAAUGCCGCGUGCAGGAUGAAGGCCUUCGGGUUGUAAACUGCUUUUGUACGGAACGAAAAGCCCUGGGUUAAUACCCUGGGGUCAUGACGGUACCGUAAGAAUAGGCACCGGCUAACUACGUGCCAGCCGCCGCGGUAAUAC
rnacentral:rRNA from 1 species